GUGACCGUGGCGAAGGGGUAUUAACGCGCCGGAUUGUGGCUCCGGUAUUCGUGGGUUCAAGUCCCAUCGGUCACCCCA
rnacentral:tRNA from 1 species